rnacentral:rRNA from 1 species
AGUGAACGCUGGCGGUAGGCCCAACACAUGCAAGUCGAACGGCAGCACAGGAGAGCUUGCUCUCUGGGUGGCGAGUGGCGGACGGGUGAGGAAUACAUCGGAAUCUACUUUUUCGUGGGGGAUAACGUAGGGAAACUUACGCUAAUACCGCAUACGACCUACGGGUGAAAGCAGGGGAUCUUCGGACCUUGCGCGAUUGAAUGAGCCGAUGUCGGAUUAGCUAGUUGGCGGGGUAAAGGCCCACCAAGGCGACGAUCCGUAGCUGGUCUGAGAGGACAAUCAGCCACAAUGGAACUGGGACACGGUGCAGACUCCUACGGGAGGAAGCAGUGGGGAAUAUUGGACAAUGGGCGCAAGCCCGAUCCAGCCAUACCGCGUGGGUGAAGAAGGCCUUCGGGUUGUAAAGCCCUUUUGUUGGGAAAGAAAUCCAGCUGGUUAAUACCCGGUUGGGAUGACGGUACCCAAAGAAUAAGCACCGGCUAACUUCGUGCCAGCAGCCGCCGUAA